ACAACAAUGAUGAAAAGGACAGUAACAAAAAAACUGGGCUUUAGAGACAUAAUCCUAGGCUGAAAGAUUAUGACGAAGGUUUUUUGUGAAGAUCACCUUGGAGUUGGGCGGCUGAAGGAAUCUAAGUUGCUCCGUAGGCAUGCGUUACAUGUUUUAAGCGAUUAAUGGGUAGGUAACUAUUUCUAUUAAUAAAAAGGGUGGUACCGCGGAUAAUCCGUCCCUAAG
rnacentral:ncRNA from 1 species